rnacentral:rRNA from 1 species
GACGAACGCUGGCGGCGUGCCUAAUACAUGCAAGUAGAACGCACAGUUUAUACCGUAGCUUGCUACACCAUAGACUGUGAGUUGCGAACGGGUGAGUAACGCGUAGGUAACCUGCCUGGUAGCGGGGGAUAACUAUUGGAAACGAUAGCUAAUACCGCAUAAUAUUGAUUAUUGCAUGAUAAUUGAUUGAACGAUGCUAUUGCAUCACUACCAGAUGGACCUGCGUUGUAUUAGCUAGUAGGUGAGGUAACGGCUCACCUAGGCGACGAUACAUAGCCGACCUGAGAGGGUGAUCGGCCACACUGGGACUGAGACACGGCCCAGACUCCUACGGGAGGCAGCAGUAGGGAAUCUUCGGCAAUGGACGAAAGUCUGACCGAGCAACGCCGCGUGAGUGAAGAAGGUUUUCGGAUCGUAAAGCUCUGUUGUAAGAGAAGAACGGGUGUGAGAGUGGAAAGUUCACACUGUGACGGUAUCUGACCAGAAAGGGACGGCUAACUACGUG